CGCCACUAGAUUCCACGGCGGGGCGCGAAUCCCAAAGCGAGCAAUCCACAAUUCCCAGCACCAGCACCCUCGCGCCGGCAUCCGCCGAAGCUCCUCGACGCGAGCCCUCCUCGCUCCUCGCCGCCGUCGAGUCGUCGCAGCAACGAUGACCCGGCGGAACGGCUGUACGAUCUACGUGGGCAAUCUCCCCGGCGACAUCCGCGAGAGGGAAGUAGAUGAUCUCUUCUACAAGUAUGGACGUAUCGUGGAAAUUGACUUGAAGAUUCCACCAAGGCCUCCUGGUUUUGCUUUUGUUGAGUUUGAGGAUCCACAUGAUGCUGAAGAUGCAAUAUAUGGCCGUGAUGGAUACAACUUUGAUGGCCAUAGGUUGCGGGUGGAAUUAGCUCAUGGUGGACGAGGCCCAUCUUCUUUUGAUCGAUCUAGCAGCUAUAGCAGUGCUGGGCAACGCGGUGCCUCUAAACGUUCUGAUUACCGUGUUAUGGUUACUGGAUUACCUUCUUCAGCAUCAUGGCAAGAUCUCAAGGAUCAUAUGCGGCGAGCUGGUGAUGUCUGUUUCACUGAUGUGUAUCGUGAGGCUGGAGCAACUAUUGGAAUAGCUGAUUAUACUAACUAUGAAGAUAUGAAACAUGCGAUAAGGAAGCUAGAUGAUUCUGAGUUCCGUAAUGCUUUUUCAAGGACAUAUAUCCGGGUGAGGGAGUAUGAUGCUAGGCGCAGCCGUUCUCGCUCCAGAGGCAGAAGCCGUAGCCGCUCUAAGUCAAGAAGCAGAAGUCAUAGCCGCUCAUACUCAAGAAGUAGAAGCCGCAGUUAUAGCAAGAGUAGGAGCCCAAGAUCUAGAUCUGCUUCUCAGUCAAAAUCACCUGUUAAAGCAAGAUUGGGGCAUUGUGAGGAUCUGGGGAUUGCAUUGGUAGGAUAAUGGAAUAUUGAGAACAUGAUGAUGGUUUGGAACGUUGGAUAGUCAGCUGGAUUGUGAUGCACUGUAUGACAAGUGGACUGCAACCAGCAAUAGGAGCAAGAUAGGGCUGGCACCAAAACAUAUAUGGACUGGAAUUUGUGAUCACCAUCCAGAUCCCCUCCUGUUUCUCCCCCACGUGACAAGUCUAUAAGCAGGAGUCCUGCCAGGAGCAAAAGUCUGCCCCGAUCUUGUUCUCCGGCAAAACCUGAAUGAAUCAGAUUCUGCACUUGAAACAUUCAGAAAUGCAGAGCUCAAGCUAAAAGAUUGCUGUACGGAUUAUGAGCACUGUGCUAGUAGCAUUGCUAUUCCUUCUAUAUUUUUACAAAUACUCUGUUCUUUGAGGAGGUCACUGUAUGCUCUACUUUGUACUUGACAUGGUGCAAACGUUGUUGAAUUUUAAACUUAGCAGAACGAUGGCUUUGAUUAGCUCCAUUCAUUGGUCGAGCUCCAUCCAUUCCUUCCAAAUCUUAACUGAACAUAGCAAAACAUUGUUGUAUGGAGUCAUUGUUAUUCUUUGAUGCACUCCCUUGUGGAAAAACAAAAUUGGAAUUCUACCA